rnacentral:rRNA from 1 species
UACGGAGGGUGCAAGCGUUAUCCGGAUUCACUGGGUUUAAAGGGUGCGUAGGCGGGUAUGUAAGUCAGCGGUGAAAUCCCCGAGCUUAACUUGGGAACUGCCGUUGAUACUAUAUAUCUUGAAUGUCGUGGAGGUUAGCGGAAUGUGUCAUGUAGCGGUGAAAUGCUUAGAUAUGACAUAGAACACCCAUUGCGAAGGCAGCUAACUACGCGAAUAUUGACGCUGAGGCACGAAAGCGUGGGGAUCAAACAGG